GUCCCACAGUCAGGGAACCGGUCCCCGCAGGCUGUGUCCCGUGCGGAGCGAGAGAGGAAGGUGGCCAUGAGGCUCCACCGCGGCGCCCCCGCCAACAUCUCCUCCUCUGACCUCACCGCACAGAUGGGCCAAUCACGCAUCGCCACAUCACAGGUCAGUGUGCCAUUUGAACACCUGGGGAAGUGAGCUGCUCCUCAGGCCCUCUCGACACUGGCAGGUAAGGACCCGUCAGACAACACUCAGUCAACUAUGGACCAACUGUAACCUGUAAUAUCAAUGCAUAAUUGAAUAUA